rnacentral:tRNA from 3 species
GGGGAUGUAACUCAGCGGGAGAGUGCCACAAUGGCAUUGUGGAAGUCGAGGGUUCAAAUCCCUUCAUCUCCACCA